CUUAGAUAUUUUAAAUACAAAAAUAUUCGCCAGAGAAUUACGAGCUAAACAUGCUUAAAACUCUAAGGACUUGGCGGUACCUCAAACCCACCUAGAGGAGCCUGUUCUAUAAUCGACAAUCCACGAUUCACCUCACCAUCUCUUGCCAACUCCGCCUAUAUACCGCCGUCAAGCUUACCUUAUGAAAGAUAAAAAGUAAGCAAAAUAAUCUAAACAAUUAAUAAAUCAGGUCAAGGUGUAGCUUACUGAGAUGGAAGAAAUGGGCUACAUUUUCUAUACUAGAAAUAACUACGGAAAGAUACCUUGAAAUAGGUUCUACAAGCAGGAUUUAGCAGUAAACUGGGAAAAGAGAGCCCAA
rnacentral:rRNA from 1 species